GAUGAAGAACGUAGCGAAAUGCGAUAACUAGUGUGAAUUGCAGAAUUCCGUGAAUCAUCGAGUCUUUGAACGCACAUUGCGCCCCCUGGUAUUCCGGGGGGCAUGCCUGUCCGAGCGUCAUUGCUGCCCAUCAAGCACGGCUUGUGUGUUGGGUCGUCGUCCCCUCUCCGGGGGGGACGGGCCCCAAAGGCAGCGGCGGCACCGCGUCCGAUCCUCGAGCGUAUGGGGCUUUGUCACCCGCUCUGUAGGCCCGGCCGGCGCUUGCCGAACGCAAAUCAAUCUUUUCCAGGUUGACCUCGGAUCAGGUAGGAUACCCGCUGAACUUAAGCAUAUCAAUAAGCGGAGGA
rnacentral:misc_RNA from 1 species